CUACAGACUGACACGUUUCGCGGCAGACGCGACUGGUUUUUUGUCUCUACAAAAGUAAAAUUGGUUGUAAAAAGUAUAAUUAGACUUCAGGCGACAUUACGUACGUUCGAUUGUGUGCUAAAAAUACGAUGUUAUGCUCGACAUUUAAAUUUAACGUUCCACAAUAGAGUAGGAUUUCGUAGCGACUACAUCUGCGGUAGCGUUGGUGUUCAUGACGUAGCUAAGCUAAGAUGAUAAGAUGCAGGAAGGUCGUCUACGAUGGUACAGCCACACAAGCUAUAUGCCCCCAGACUACCUCGGAAAAAGACGCCUCCACCUCUACGUACCAGGUCCAAGAUCCCGCGGUACGCCCAAGAAACUCUUGCUGGAUGUGGUAAAGGCGUAUAUGGAGGAGAAUAACCUCACCCAGAAGGAUGCCGAAGACCUGGCAAAGUGGAAGAGCUUAAGUUGGAAAUCGGACCCUGGUAUUAGACUGGAAAAUUGCUAGGAAGAAGCAGAAAGACGAAAAAUGCUAUGUGGUAUUUGUCUGAGAGAGAUAUUGAGAUAAACUUUGAUAAAAAAAAAAGAUUACUGAGCGAAUACUUUUGGUUUAGGGCUGUUUUUUUUAUAAUAGCAAAUAAUAGUUAUUUGUACGAUAAAAUACAAAAAUAAACUUAAAAAAUACAGUUGAAUAAAU